AUUGAACGCUGGCGGCAGGCCUAACACAUGCAAGUCGAGCGAGCGGCGGACGGGGGAGUAAUGUCUGGGAAACUGCCUGUUGGAGGGGGAUAACUACAGGAAACGGUAGCUCAUACCGCAUACCAUCUGAUGUGCCCAGAUGGGAUUAGCUAGUAGGGGGGGUAAUGGCUCACCUAGGCGACGAUCCCUAGCUGGUCUGGGAGGAUGACCAGCCACACUGGAACGGAGACACGGUCCAGACUCCUACGGGAGGCAGCAGUGGGGAAUAGUGCACAAUGGGCGCAAGCCUGAGGCAGCCAUGCCGCGUGUGUGAAGAAGGCCUUCGGGUUGUAAAGCACUUUCAGCGGGGAGGCGUUACCCGCAGAAGAAGCACCGGCUAACUCCGUGCCAGCCGCCGCGGUAAUAC
rnacentral:rRNA from 1 species